GACGUAGGGCGCGAGCGUUGUCCGGAUUUAUUGGGCGUAAAGAGCUCGUAGGCGGCUUGUUGCGUCGACUGUGAAAACCCGCGGCUUAACUGCGGGCUUGCAGUUGAUACGGGCAGGCUAGAGUUCGGUAGGGGGAGACUGGAAUUCCUGGUGUAGCGGUGAAAUGCGCAGAUAUCAGGAGGAACACCAGUAGCGAAGGCGGCACUCUGGGCCGGUACUGACGCUGAGGAGCGAAAGCGUGGGGAGCGAACAGG
rnacentral:rRNA from 1 species